GCAUGCGCGGCUCAGAGCUCCGGUGCACGGAGCGCAGUGAGCGGCUCAGAGUGACCGGACACCGGAGCCGCCGCCGCCGCCGCCGCCUCAGUCCGCCCCGCGAGCCGCCGACCGGAGAACCACCGAGCCCGGGACGGAAGUAACUUUCUGCGCGAGGACACGAGCGCCCGGAGAACCAGCUCCACCGGGAGGAGGAGGAGCCGCGGAGCCUCCCGCUGCUCGACCCGCCGUCGGUGAAGUGAGACCGACCAAGAGGCCUCGUCAGGAGACGUCUGACUGCAUGAAGAGGCCGAGCGCCGGGACCCUGGUCCUCACCUAGACCUCCGCCCCCCCCCCCCACUGCCUGGACAUGAGGUCGUUCCGAUCGUUCGCACAUGACGACCGCCAUGUCAUGGCCAAGCACGCCAGCAUCUAUCCGGCGCCCGAGGAACUGGAGGCCGUGCAGACGCUGGUGUCCACCGUGGAGGGAGCCCUCAAGAAAGUGUCAGAUUGGAUGGACGGCCUCAGCAAAUCCUCAGGGAAGACGUCCACUGAAAACGAGGCAGCGGACGACGGAGUGGAGGAUGAUGCUGCUGAGUCGAAGCUGAAGGCCACGUCAGUGCUGUGCGGGGUGACGCGUGUCGGCCUGGUGGCGAAGGGCCUGCUGAUCAAAGGAGACCUGGACCUGGAACUGGUGCUGAUGUGCCGAGAGAAACCCACGAAGCUGCUGCUGUACACCGUCAGCGCCAACCUCCCCCUGCAGAUCCAGACGAUGACGGAGGACAAAUACGAGGUGCGGUCGUGUGUCCCCGAGGCAGCUAUCCGGGUCUGCAGCUCCAAAAACCCUCAACUCACGCUGAAGAUCACCCUCUCCUCGUUAGCCAUGAGGGACGAGCGGCACAGCAGCACUGACGAAGAGAAGGGCGAUCGAGACGUCCACAAGGACGAGGAGGAAGAGGACGAAGACGAUGUCCUGGACAGGCACAAGUGCCGGGCAGCGCUGGCUUUGCUCCGACAUGCCAAAUGGUUCCAGGCCCGUGUCACAGACCUCAAGUCCUGCGUCAUCAUCUUGAGGAUCCUCAGAGACAUGUGCAACACACUGCCAGCGUGGCAGCCCCUCAAAGGAUGGCCUCUGGAGCUGAUCUGUGAAAAGGCCAUAGCCACCUGCAACCGGCCGCUGGGUCCCGGUGAGGCCCUGCGUCGCGUCAUGGAGUGCGUCGCCUCAGGGAUCCUCCUGCCAGGAGGUCCAGGAGUUCAUGACCCCUGUGAACGGGGACCUACUGACGUCCUGUCUGACCUCAGCGCCCAGCAGGCGGACGCCAUCACAGACAGCGCACAGCAUGCGUUACGCCUCCUCGCCUUCGGACAGCUUUACAAGGUCUUGAAUAUGGAUCCUCUCCCUGCGAGCAAACCCUCGCCAAGACUGUUUGAAGGCGGUUGUCAGAAGAGGCUCCGGGAGGACGUCGGGUCGGAUGACAGAGACCUCAUCAAAAGGAUGAAAGUCCUGGACUGGAGGAUGACUGAUCCGAACCACCCCAUGAACGCCCUGAUGCGUCUGAACCAGAUCCACCCGGGUCUCCAGUACCGCCUGCUGUCCCAGUCCGGCCCGGUCCACGCUCCGGUCUUCACCAUGUCCGUGGAGAUCCAGGGAACCACCUACCAGGCCACGGGGAACUCCAAGAGAACCGCCAAGCUCCAAGUCGCCCUCAAGGCGCUGCAGGCUCUGGGCUUCGUUCUCGCCGGCGACGGAGACGUGGACUCGCUGAGCGCCGACGAGAAGUCAGAUGGCGAAGGCAAGAACGACAGGAUGUCCAGCAGCUCCAGCUCCACCUCCAUCACCUCCUCCACAGACACACAGGAGUCCAGAGCUCCAGGUCCGAUUCUGACGGCGGGAGGUAAGAACCCGGUGAUGGAGCUGAACGAGAAACGCCGCGGCCUCAAGUAUGAGCUGAUCUCAGAGAGCGGCAGCAGCUACGACAAGCGCUUCAUCAUAGAGGUGGAAGUGGACAAGCAGGUUUUUCGGGGAACGGGUCCCAAUAAGAAAGUAGCCAAAGCGAGCGCAGCGUUAGCCGCCCUGAACAGCCUGUUCUCCGGCUGCAAAUCCACGAGCAGCAAGAAGAAACGGCCCAAUCCUCCGCCAAAGCGACCGAUGGCGUCGAUGCUGACCCUCCCGGCCCUCGCUGCCAGACCUCCACGGGUCCCCGUCAUCCCCAGAGCUCCCUACAUCAGCACCCCCCCCACACACGGAUACAUCCCCCCAGGUUUCGGCGCUCCCUACGGUUACAGCCCUGCAGGGGCCCUCCCUGCCUACGGUUUUCCCUCCAGAAUGUCCUCAGUAGUUCUCCCAGUCAUCAGAGUCCCCCCAACGUACCCCGUCACCCACCUCUACCCUUAUUAAGACUCAUCUCACAGGAAAUCACUCCUUUUUCUGACCCGUUUCUCCAUCAGCACCAAGUUCCUGCUGCACCUUCAUUACAUUCAAUCUGCUCAUUAGAACGUUGGGCUCUGACAAAUCAGCUCUGAAGUCAUCAAACCGUUAAAACCAUCCGGCGGCCUGUACAUCGACAGUGCCUAUUACCAGCCGCAGACCAUCCACACCCCUAUAAUCAUCCACCUGGGCCCUCAGGAUCUUUUCUGACCCCGCCGAUGUUCCGAGAACUCGCUCGGCCACAGACUCGACCUCCUGUUUAAUCCCCGGCCCUUAUUAAACUCUGUCAGCGCCUCUCAAUUACUGCAGCACCGCUCCCCCGGGUUUCUGCUUCCACGUGAGACACAGCAGCAAUACUGAAAGCAAUAUGGAGGAGAGCGCGCCGCGGGCGACGCUGUGCCGGCUCCAGGUUUGGUUUGAGCGAGGAAGAGGCUGCAGCCGGGGCUUGGUUUGGAAAAACAUCAAUAAAACACAAAGCAAUACUUCUCCUGCCUUCGGGAAUCUCACCGUGUUCCAAAGCAACUCGACUCCGAGCUGAAACAAACAAUGUGAUCUGCUGUAUGUAAAUACAAUAUUUACUACUCUGUACAUAUGGAUGUUUGUGAGUUUUCAAUAUAUGUAAACAUGUUAAUAUGUUUGAAUAUGUAAAACCCACUGACGGGUAAAGAAACGUAUUUAUAACAUAUCUCUGAAUGUAAAUACAGUAGUGACUGAAGUAGCUUUGUAUUGAAAGCACUGUCAGAUAUGAUAUAUGAUAAAUACUCCUAGUUAAUUACAUUUUACAGAUUGUCUAUAACACUGUAUUGGUAUGUUUAUGGUAUUUAAUCUCAAAUUAAACAUUAUUGCAUAUAUUA